GAUGAACGCUAGCGACAGGCUUAACACAUGCAAGUCGAGGGGCAGCAUAAAAGUAGCAAUACUUUGGUGGCGACCGGCGCACGGGUGAGUAACGCGUAUGCAACCUACCUAUCGAGGAGGGGGAGUAACCCGGCGAAAGUCGGACUAAUACCGCAUAAAACAGGGGCACCGCAUGGUGAUAUUUGUUAAAAAUUUAUUGCUGAUAGAUGGGCAUGCGUUCCAUUAGGUAGUUGGAGAGGUAACGGCUCACCAAGCCUACGAUGGAUAGGGGAACUGAGAGGUUGGUCCCCCACACUGGUACUGAGACACGGACCAGACUCCUACGGGAGGCAGCAGUGAGGAAUAUUGGUCAAUGGGCGAGAGCCUGAACCAGCCAAGUCGCGUGAAGGAAGAAGGAUCUAUGGUUCGUAAACUUCUUUUGCAGGGGAAUAAAGUGCAGGACGUGUCCUGUUUUGUAUGUACCCUGAGAAUAAGGAUCGGCUAACUCCGUG
rnacentral:rRNA from 1 species